rnacentral:rRNA from 1 species
AUGCCAACCUUUGCACUCAUCGUCCUACGUGUACCAAAGAAGAUUCUCAAGGAGAUAGACAAGUGCAUGCGACGUUUUCUCUGGUGUCAAGACGAAGAGGUUUCGGGCGCCAACUGCAAGGUCAAUUGGUCGACGGUGUGCGCCCCGACGGAGCAAGGGGGCCUGGGCAUCCCCGACCUACAGCGUUUCGACAGGGCGCUCCGGCUGCGCUGGCUUUGGAUCGCCUGGCACCACCCAGAACGUCCAUGGGUGGGCAUAGAUUUGCCUUGCGACGAUGCGUACAAGGCCCUCUUCACGGCCUCCACCAACAUGGCGAUUGGUGACGGGGCUCGGGCCUCCUUCUGGCACUCCCCAUGG